GACGAACGCCGGCGGCGUGCCUAACACAUGCAAGUCGAACGGGGCUCUUUGGAUCGAGACUCCGGUCAAGUGAAUCUGAGCUUAGUGGCGGACGGGUGAGUAACGCGUGAGCAACCUGCCUUUCAGAGGGGGACAACAGUUGGAAACGACUGCUAAUACCGCAUAACGUGUCGAGGAGGCAUCUCCUUGACACCAAAGAUUUAUCGCUGAAAGAUGGCCUCGCGUCUGAUUAGAUAGUUGGUAGGGUAACGGCCUACCAAGUCAACGAUCAGUAGCCGGUCUGAGAGGAUGAACGGCCACAUUGGGACUGAGAUACGGCCCAG
rnacentral:rRNA from 1 species